UUGACUUUUUAGUUUUACCCAAUGAUAUGAUUAAUGUACAUACUUACUCAGUGUCUAGGCAAUAAAAUGUAAAUGUUGUUGAAACCCCAUAAAUUUCUUUUUAAGAUUCAUCAUAUUUAAUGAAUGUCAAUGUUGAAGGUAAGAAAAUGAUGGUAAUUUAAGAGGUGGGAUUAUUUCUAACAUUUUUGACACGCUCCAUAACUUUUCAGUUUUGCUGGUUAAAGGUAGAAACGGAAAAGAUCUAUUGAUGCUAAACGGAUACACAUAUUACCAGCACAAACUUCUUCGAGACGGUUUUCGAUGGAGUUGUACACAGAUGGGAUCCAGGUCUUGCAGGGGUUUCCUGCAUGUUACGAAAAAAAUGUUAGUUGUGAGAGCUCAAACGGAGCAUACCCACCCACCGUCCACAUAUUUCCUAGAAAAUAUCAAAAGGCAAUCGCUUCGAGAAGACGAUGGCAGACAAAAUGCUUCCGAAAAAUAUGGUCCCUUGUCGUUGAAAAUUGCAAGCAUACAUGGACGUGUUGGAUUUUGAUACCUUGUUAUAAUAAAUCAUGUUUAUAUAAUAUGUUCCCUUAUAUUAUAAAAUAAAUAUACAUUUGUCUUAUUUUUAAACAAAGUUCUGGUAAAUUAAAUUUACUUGGAACUUUGUUUCUCGAGUUUUACUUAAUAAAUAGUUUAAGAUAUAUACAAAAUAACAUGAAACAAGUACACCGUUUAUGUUACUAAUACUUCUUUUUUAUUCAUAAAUAAAUAUUUUAGUGUUAUUAGUUUAAGUUGGUUUAGAACAAAAAAAAAUUAUGUUUUCUGAAUAAUUUUUAUUUGUCCUAAUAUUGUCAUGAUUCUCGGUAUAAAAACUCAUAUUAUUUUUGGUACGUUGUCUACAGUUGAAUUUUACCUUCGCCCCAACGGUCGUAUCAAUCUGCGCCUGAACAACUUUACAUUUUACAAGCACUUAAAAGCAAGAAGCAAUGCUCAUCGUUGGAGCUGUACCGCCUACGGUUCAAAAUGGAAGUGCAAGGCCCAUCUCAUCAUCACAGAUAAGUUAGAAGUCCUCAAGGCAAACGUGUCGCACAGUCAUCCACCGAGUACAAAGAAGGAAACCAGAAACCAAAUAAAGCAGAAUUUUCCUUGGAACGGCACUGGUUACAAUAAAGAGAAUGGGACACCAAUCCUACCUGCGGAACCCCCAUCUCUCACACCUCUUCAUGAUUACUUGGUAGCUCACAGUGUAUUUAGUAACUAUUAGCUAUAUGUAUACGCUUAAAGCAAAGAAAUUUCGGAUGUAUUUCUUUCGAAUUUUACGAGAUAUUCUUUGUCCUUGUAUUCCUAUUACAUUAUACAAUUUAAUUUGUCUUGAGUUUAAGUUAAUUCUAAUUUUUUUUUUUUUGUAUUAGUUCCGCAAGACUAAAUCGGAUACUAAUUUUAUACUACUAUGUAAGCCUAAUUUGGUGUGUGUAUAUAACCACUAUACUAAUAAACUACUACUUGCUUAGUGUUGCCCUAACGUUAAGUAAUAAUAACACGCUUAGUGUUGCCCUAACGUUAAGUAAUAAUAGCAUAUCAUAUAUGAUGCGUGUCAGAAAACCUAGUGUAUCAAUUUAACCACAUUCUUGUUUCGUUCCUGAAAUGUAUUUUAUAUAAAAGCAGACUUAUAGAAUAAUAUUUGAAGUAUUAAUAUUGACGAUACUAAAAGCUACGGUAGAUAAACGACUCGUAUAAGAAGUUAAGUUCGUUUUUGAAAUCCAAUUCAUCAUUAUGAGGUUUGGGUCAAGUGCCUUCAUUCGUCUUAGAUUUAAUUUUAUAGAAUUAUUAACAGGCUUUAGUUUUAAGUAUGUGUUUUUUUUUUAAAUAUUUCGUGUGAUAAUUUGCAUUUGUGACGUGUCCAGUAUUAGGUAUUGUGAUACAAUGAUAAUAUUAAUGUUUUAAGACUGCGUGUUUCAUGUGAUAAUCAGGUAUCUGAAUGAUUAGAUCUCGUUUUAUUUUUACAGGUGAUUUGAUUUAAUUUCGUUCAUUUAAUCGACUAAUAUUGUCUAUUUUUAUACUUACUAUAACUGUAUGUGACUUUAAUAUAGUGAUUUACGCUAAUGCUUAUUCAUGUUUUUGGCAUUUAAACGCAUUUAAUAAAGUAUUUUACACGUAA